rnacentral:rRNA from 1 species
UACGUAGGUGGCAAGCGUUGUCCGGAUUUACUGGGCGUAAAGAGCGCGCAGGCGGUCGUUCAAGUCGCGUGUGAGAGCCCCCGGCUCAACUGGGGAGGGUCACGCGAUACUGAUCGACUCGAAGGCAGGAGAGGGUAGUGGAAUUCCCGGUGUAGUGGUGAAAUGCGUAGAUAUCGGGAGGAACACCAGUGGCGAAGGCGACUACCUGGCCUGUUCUUGACGCUGAGGCGCGAAAGCUAGGGGAGCAAACGGG